AACCCCUCGGAUAGGGCCACAGAAACAGACCGCCAGCGGCCCGAGGGCCUCUCGCCCUCGGGUGCGGGCAAGGGUGAAAAGGUGGGGUAAGAGCCCACCGGCACGGCGGGUAACCGUCGUGGCCAGGCAACCCCCGCCGGGAGCAAGGCCAAGCAGGCGCGAAGGGGCCAGGAAGGCCCCGGGGUGUGGCCCGCACCCCUGGAGCGCCGGGUGGGCCGCGUAGAUAGAUGACCACCCCCGUCUGGCUCUGGCCGUGUGCCGCCGUCCCCCGGGCACGGCCACCCAGGCGGGACAGAAUGCGGCUUAUAGGCUACCCGAACGC
rnacentral:RNase_P_RNA from 1 species